rnacentral:misc_RNA from 1 species
GUGAGUCAUCGAAUCUUUGAACGCACAUUGCGCCUCCCGCAAGGGAGGCAUGCCUGUCUGAGCGUCAUUUAAACCAUAGACCCUUUAUGGGUUUGUCAUGGGCCUUGCGCGUAGCGCAUCGCCUCAAAGCCAUCGGUCUAACAAGCGGACGAGAUCCAUUAGGACUGACUGUUUUGCCGACCUUAAAUCUCUGACUUGACCUCAGAUCAGGUAGGACUACCGCCUGAACUUAAGCAUAUCAAUAAGCGGAGGA